CCUACGGGCGGCAGCAGUGGGGAGUAUUGCACAAUGGGCGCAAGCCUGAUGCAGCCAUGCCGCGUGUGUGAAGAAGGCCUUCGGGUUGUAAAGCACUUUCAGCGGGGAGGAAGGCGGUGAGGUUAAUAACCUCAUCGAUUGACGUUACCCGCAGAAGAAGCACCGGCUAACUCCGUGCCAGCAGCCGCGGUAAUACGGAGGGUGCAAGCGUUAAUCGGAAUUACUGGGCGUAAAGCGCACGCAGGCGGUCUGUCAAGUCGGAUGUGAAAUCCCCGGGCUCAACCUGGGAACUGCAUUCGAAACUGGCAGGCUAGAGUCUUGUAGAGGGGGGUAGAAUUCCAGGUGUAGCGGUGAAAUGCGUAGAGAUCUGGAGGAAUACCGGUGGCGAAGGCGGCCCCCUGGACAAAGACUGACGCUCAGGUGCGAAAGCGUGGGGAGCAAACAGGAUUAGAUACCCGAGUAGUC
rnacentral:rRNA from 1 species